GGGACUCGUGGUGUUCCGGGCGAUGUCUUGGUUUCGAGCGGCUCCGGAGAACGCGAGCCCUGGAGACCAGGACGUGUUUGACGAGGAAGCGGACGAGUCUCUGUUAGCGCAGCGGGAAUGGCAGGGUCACAUGCGGAAACGAGUCCAAGUAAAUGGACGGGACGCGGGAGAAAGGGACUCCCAGGCGGGACCCGGGGGCUCCCUGGCAGGGGCACGCACGCAGAAGCCUGGGCGGAGGAGCGCGGGUCUCCGAGCCAGCGCGCUCCAGUGUUGCCGGGUCUUAAGAAUCCUGGUUGUUUCUUGGUGCUCUUUCGGAGCCCCACCGGGUUUGGAGCAGGGACAUUGACCCUACUCUACAACGUGAACUUUAUUCAGUCCCUCAAGAGUGUGCAGUUUGGGGUCGGGGGAGCAGAGGAGGAGAAAUGCACACCCACUAGGCUGAUGGCCCGCAGAGAACGCAGUCACAGAGAGUCCAAAGUUAGGCGUGAUGUUAUCAAGGCUUGGAGAAGGGUGAACUGAGAAUGUUGUCAAGGGAAGGUAAGGGGGAGGUAGAGAAGGGAAUACUGUUCCAGCUUUACUUUAAAUGCGUUAUUCAAUCCGGACCUGUCUUGCCAUUCAUUGAAACUUGCUUAGUACUAUUUGGGUAGAAUCGGCGCUUUUUCUGGGUGAGAACUACUUGCUAAGAUCUGUCUCCACAUGGGGGUGGAUUCCAGAGUAUAAAGACCUGCGUUCGAUCCCUGGAACGUACUUUGUGGAAGGACAGAAUGGGUUUCUGGAAGUUAUUUUCUGACCUUCACGCUCAAGGAAGUAAAUAAAUGCCUCCCUCAAGAAAAAUAAGUAAAUAUAUGUUACUUAACUGUUUAAAAGAUAAGAACUGCAUCCACCCAAUAUACUAGCCAUUAAAUUACCCUCUUAAAGCUGCAGUUAUGUCAACCCUAAUUUAAUGUUCCAGUAAGUUCAUAUUUGUUGAGCCCAGCAACCAUCAUAUCAUUACAAAAAUACCAUAGGAAUCCAGGGCUAAACUAAUAAUAAUAAUAAGACAAAUCUCUAUGCCACAGUUUAGAUUAGAUUUCUAAAAUCAGACUUCCUCUUCACUGUUCCUAAAAUAGUUCCCUCUUCCCAGGCCUUGCCAGCCUCCUUAUCUAUCCUAUUCUAGUCCGUUACCAAGAGACCAGACAUGUAGUUUCCCAUUUCUGUGAAGACCUUGCUAACACAGUUUUUAAAAAAAACAUAACAACUGAUAUUUAAUGUUUGCACAGUAACCCUAGAUUUCCAAAGUGACUUCCCCGUGUGGCAUCGAGGCAUCUGCCUGUCAUCGAUUAGGAGAGUGAGGAAGGUAGGAUAAGGAGCUCCAGGCCAGCCUGGAAAACAUUUUAAAAAAAUAAGACAGAUCUGACAAGGAAAGAUGAACCAAUAAUAAGAUUUUAGGAGAAACAUUCUGCUUUGGAUUUAUGUCUCUGCCAUAUCAUAAUUCAGUUAAUAUAGUACAAACCUAAAUUUGUCUUCAAAAUUGGUUCAGUGCUUUUCCUGAGAAGACUCACUUGGUGUCAGUUACAACUGGGUUUUUUCUUCUUUUUAGGAGGGUUACAGAGAUGGGCUAGAUGCCGGCAAAGCACUUACUCUUCAACGGGGCUUCAAUCAAGGGUACAAAGAGGGUGCAGACGUCAUUAUAAACUAUGGACUCCUUAGAGGAACACUGAGGUAAUUUUAAAAUUUUAAAUGAUGAAUCAUUUAGCCACAAUUCUAAUGAAGGUCUUUAAUAGAGGUAAUAUGUAAAAAUUCAGUGUUUAAAAGUGUUUUUCGGGGGCUGGUGAAAUGGCUCAGUGGGUAAGAGCACCCGACUGCUCUUCCGAAGGUCUGAAGUUCAAAUCCCAGCAACCACAUAGUGGCUCACAACCAUCUCUAACAAGAUCUGACUCCCUCUUCUGGAGUGUCUGAAGACAGCUACAGUGUACUUACAUAUAAUAAAUAAAUCUUUUUUUAAAGAAAAAAGUGUUUUUCGUGCUGUUGGGUGCAUGGCUCUUCAGAAUGUAAAGUACUGCUUUCAGAAGGUUUUCUAGGAGUUGUUGGUUAAUUCCUCCAUUUCACUAGGUGUCCCAGCUGCUUUUCUCUUGUUGCCAUUUGGCAGAGCACUGAUCACUCAGGAGGGGUUUUCUGCUAAUAAAGAACGCUGUUUUACCUGCACACGUGAUAGAGGACAGAUGGUGGGUCUUUCAGCUGGAAGUCCACGGGGGAAAACCGUAAUUACUGAGAGAAAGAGGUCUUGCUUGUUUGAGCCCUGAACUUUAAAUACCUGUAGGAUACCAUAGCAAUAAUGGCAGAAAAUAGAGCCACAAAGUCAGGUCCAAUGGUGACAAAGAGUUGGGCCAGCCUCUUUGAUGGGGAUAGUUUUUAGACUGUCCUUAUAGAGAAACAAACUGCUGCAAAGAAUCACAUUUAAAGAAAAAGAAAAAAAUUGUUUUAAAUUUUGUUGAGACUUUUAGAAAAUUAAGGAGACUAUAUAAUUGAGAAGAGGAGGUAAUUCGCCAAGCAUUCAUUUUCGAUUCGUGUUUAUGACCUUAGGAAGCCCAGUGUUCCCACCCAUUGACCCUUUACUUCUACAGUAUUUUCAGAGGGUUGUAGCUCAGGGUAGAGUGUGCCCAGCAUUCCCACAGCCCUGGGUUCAGUACCAACCCAAAGGAAAAAAGAACCAUGAUUUUUUUAUUAUAUGAAAAAUGAGGGAGGAAGGUUGGUCUACUAGAAAAUAAUU
rnacentral:lncRNA from 1 species